ensembl:miRNA
UGCCCCCUGCUCUGGCUGGUCAAACGGAACCAAGUCCGUCUUCCUGAGAGGUUUGGUCCCCUUCAACCAGCUACAGCAGGGCUGGCAAUG